rnacentral:rRNA from 1 species
GUGGGGAAUAUUGGACAAUGGGCGAAAGCCUGAUCCAGCCAUGCCGCGUGUGUGAAGAAGGUCUUCGGAUUGUAAAGCACUUUAAGUUGGGAGGAAGGGUAGUAACCUAAUACGUUGCUACUUUGACGUUACCGACAGAAUAAGCACCGGCUAACUUCGUGCCAGCAGCCGCGGUAAUACGAAGGGUGCAAGCGUUAAUCGGAAUUACUGGGCGUAAAGCGCGCGUAGGUGGUUCAGCAAGUUGAAGGUGAAAUCCCCGGGCUCAACCUGGGAACUGCCUCCAAAACUACUGAGCUAGAGUACGGUAGAGGGUAGUGGAAUUUCCUGUGUAGCGGUGAAAUGCGUAGAUAUAGGAAGGAACACCAGUGGCGAAGGCGACUACCUGGACUGAUACUGACACUGAGGUGCGAAAGCGUGGGGAGCAAACAGGAUUAGAUACCCCUGUAGUCC